rnacentral:rRNA from 1 species
UACGUAGGUCCCGAGCGUUGUCCGGAUUUAUUGGGCGUAAAGCGAGCGCAGGUGGUUUAUUAAGUCUGGUGUAAAAGGCAGUGGCUCAACCAUUGUAUGCAUUGGAAACUGGUAGACUUGAGUGCAGGAGAGGAGAGCGGAAUUCCAUGUGUAGCGGUGAAAUGCGUAGAUAUAUGGAGGAACACCGGUGGCGAAAGCGGCUCUCUGGCCUGUAACUGACAUUGAGGCUCGAAAGCGUGGGGAGCAAACAGG